CGUGCGGGUGCUUACCAUGCAAGUCGAACGGCCCAGAAUUUAACACCGAGAAUAUACUGCUUGGGAAAGCCAAGCGGUGGCGAGUGAAACGAGCCACCACGCAUACAUAAAGUGAUUACCAGUAGAUGUUUUGGGUGUUAAAUUCUGGAUAGUGGCGAACGGGUGAGUAACGCGUAGGCAAUCUGCCUUCUAGAUGGGGACAACAUCCCGAAAGGGGUGCUAAUACCGAAUGUUGUAGUUGGUCUGCAUGGACUAGCUACUAAAGGUGGCCUCUGAAUAUGCUACCGCUAGAAGAUGAGCCUGCGUCUGAUUAGCUAGUUGGAGGGGUAACGGCCCACCAAGGCAACGAUCAGUAGCCGGUCUGAGAGGAUGAACGGCCACACUGGGACUGAGACACGGCCCAGACUCCUACGGGAGGCAGCAGUGGGGAAUCUUCCGCAAUGGACGAAAGUCUGACGGAGCAACGCCGCGUGAGUGAAGAAGGUUUUCGGAUCGUAAAGCUCUUUCGUUAGGGACGAACGUGCUCUUUGUGAAUAAUGAGGAGUAAUGACGGUACCUAAAUAAGAAGCCACGGCUAACUACGUGCCAGCAGCCGCGGUAAUACGUAGGUGGCAAGCGUUGUCCGGAAUUAUUGGGCGUAAAGCGCGCGCAGGCGGGAUAUCAAGUCUGUCUUAAAAGUGCGAGGCUCAACCUCGUGAGGGGACAGAAACUGGUAUUCUUGAGUGUCGGAGAGGAAAGUGGAAUUCCAAGUGUAGCGGUGAAAUGCGUAGAGAUUUGGAAGAACACCAGUGGCGAAGCGACUUUCUGGACGAUGUCUGAC
rnacentral:rRNA from 1 species